rnacentral:rRNA from 1 species
UACGUAGGGGGCCAGCGUUGUCCGGAUUCAUUGGGCGUAAAGCGCGUGUAGGCGGCCAGGUAGGUCCGAUGUGAAAUCUGGAGGCUCAACCUCCAGCGGUCAUUGGAAACCAUCUGGCUAGAGUCCGGAAGAGGAGAGUGGAAUUCCUGGUGUAGCGGUGAAAUGCGCAGAUAUCAGGAGGAACACCGGUGGCGAAGGCGACAUCCUGGACCGGUAUUGACGCUGAGGCGCGAAAGCCAGGGGAGCAAACGGG